UACGGGGGGGGCAAGCGUUGUUCGGAAUUACUGGGCGUAAAGGGCUCGUAGGCGGCCAACUAAGUCGGAUGUGAAAUCCCCAGGCUUAACCUGGGAACUGCAUCCGAUACUGGAUGGCUUGAAUCCGGGAGAGGGAUGCAGAAUUCCAGGUGUAGCGGUGAAAUGCGUAGAUAUCUGGAGGAACACCGGUGGCGAAGGCGGCGUUCUGGACUGUAACUGACACUGAAAGACGAAAGCCAGGGGAGCAAACGGG
rnacentral:rRNA from 1 species